rnacentral:misc_RNA from 1 species
AGAUGAUCUACCUAAGUUAUCGGAUAAAACACAACACAGGGAGGCUCGUUUAAAUCCAGACUUAGAAGCUAAAUGCAAAGACAUUGAUACAGUCAAAUUGUUCAAAAAUGAAGAAGCCCUAUUCUUACAUGAAAAUGAUGAAAGUUUGACCUUUGAUGGAUCCGGUGGUAUGAAACUUAUCAUAGAUCAGUCGGACCAACAAAUAGCCAAUGCCGACUACGAUGGAG